rnacentral:rRNA from 1 species
CAGUCGUACCGGCGGAUAAUCAGCCUUUCGGGUGCGAUUCUGUGGGGCGUGAGGAGUUUAACCGCCUUCAUGUUUUGCAUAUUCGUGCACAUUUGGUGUACUUGUCCGUGUGGUGGGUUAACAUCAAUUUCGGUCGUCAUAAAAUGAUUGGAGGAAUGUAGCUUUGGUCUCGUAUCGAAGUGUUAUAGACUCUGGUAAUGCGCUGCGCGGGACU